rnacentral:lncRNA from 10 species
GAAAAAAGCCCUCUUCUUUCCCAACUUAUUUUCCUGUUUUUCCCAAGUAAAACCUUUUGGAGGGAAGAACCAUGAUUGGUCCAGCUUGGGUCAUGUGCUCAACCAUGGGCCAAUCACUGUGGUCCUGGGGGUGAGGUUCUAUGAUGUCACCUUCCCCACAUACUAGGGUCACAUGGGGUUUUGAUGGAGCCUUUCUCAGAAGGGAGUUGCUGUUCUGAAUAGUCAAAACUAUAAGUGUCCAUGAGAAAUCGGACUACCAGCAAGAAAAUUACAAACAUCAGAAGAGAUGCAAAAAGAGGUAAGAUCAAACAGUUUGGUAGCAGAAUAAAAUGCUCAGUAGACUUUCGAAACACUAUAUCACGAAAACAGGAUUUGGGCACAAGGAAAGGAGAUUUAUUUAACAAUGUAGGGGGCAUAAAAAGCAAUUUAAGAGAUGAGUUAGGAUGCCGGCUCUGAAACCUCCAAAUAGUUCUAUUAUGAAGAGAGAUGCAUUCUUGGAGAGUUGACUAAUACAGGGUUCGUGCUCCUAGUUUGUGCCUACUAAAUAUUAAUUCAUUUUGAUGGCAGGUUUUAUUAAGAAUUAUUGCUUAGAGCACUUACAUAUUUAUAACAUAUUUUAGCAGAGUAAUUUGCAUAUAUAAAGCUCUGCAUAAAUGCAAACGAUAAUAAUGACAGUGUUGUUGGGCUUAUAUUUACUCUUUCAUACAUGCAUUUAUUCAUUCAUCUCUUGUCUACCAACUGAGUGGAUACUCUAUUCCAGGCACUCUGUUGGACAUUCCUAGCUUCUGCCCUCAUGAUGUGUCUUAGUUUGCUCAGGCUGCUAUAAUGAAAUACCAUGGAUUUGGUGUUUUAAACAAUAGACAUUCAUUUCUCACAGGCCUGGAGUCUAGGAAGUCUAAGAUCCAGGUGCUGGCAGGAUGAGAUCAUGGCAAAUUCAGUGUCUGAUCCCAUCAUGGGGAUACCACACUUGAUAUGGUUUGGUCCUGUGUCCCUACCCAAAUCUCAUCUCGAAUUGAAAUCCCCACAUGUCAAGGGAGAGACCUGUAAUCUCCACGUGUCGAGAAAGGGAAGUGAUUGGAUAAUGGGGACGGUUUCCCCCAUGCUGUUCUCGUGACAGUGAGUGAGUUCUCAUGAGAUCUGAUGGUUUUAUAAGGGGCUCCUCCCACUUCACAUGCAAGCUCUCUCUCCUGCUGCCUUGUGAAGAAGGUGCCUGCUUCUCGUUCUG